GGGCGGCUAGCUCAGCUGGUUAGAGCGCGUCACUGAUAAUGACGAGGUCCCAGGUUCAAGUCCUGGGUCGCCCACCA
rnacentral:tRNA from 1 species